CCUACGGGAGGCAGCAGUGAGGAAUAUUGGUCAAUGGACGAAAGUCUGAACCAGCCAAGUAGCGUGAAGGAUGACUGCCCUAUGGGGUGUAAACUUCUGUUAUAUGGGAAUAAAAUGUUCCACGUGUGGGAUUUUGUAUGUACCAUAUGAAUAAGGAUCGGCUAACUCCGUGCCAGCAGCCGCGGUAAUACGGAGGAUCCGAGCGUUAUCCGGAUUUAUUGGGUUUAAAGGGAGCGUAGGUGGAUUUUUAAGUCAGUUGUGAAAGUUUGCGGCUCAACCGUAAAAUUGCAGUUGACACUGGCAGUCUUGAGUACAGUAGAGGUGGGCGGAAUUCGUGGUGUAGCGGUUACAUGCUUAGCUCUCCCG
rnacentral:rRNA from 1 species